GGUUGUGGCUCCGUGGUAGAGCACUUGCCUAGAAUGUGCAAGGCACUGGGUUCGAUUCUCAGCAUCA
rnacentral:tRNA from 1 species